ACGUUGAUGGUUCAGUGGUAGAAUUCUUACCUACCAUGCUGGGGACCUGGGUUCGAUUCCCAGUCAAUGCA